rnacentral:ribozyme from 14 species
GAUCACAUUCACAUAUCAUCCAUCUUCUCCUUUUUUCUUUUUUCCUUUUUUCCUUCCAGAUUUUGUGUCACAUAUUUUUCUUCUUUUUUUUAAAUUC